rnacentral:rRNA from 1 species
AGCAGGACAGUGGCCAUGGAAGUCGGAAUCAGCCAGGGAGUGUGUAACAGCUCACCUACUGAAUCAACUAGUCCUGAAAAUGGUUGACACUGGAGC